rnacentral:lncRNA from 1 species
UAUCAGCAACUGAAAGAGACCAGGGCAAAUUAACUACAUAUAGUUUUCUCUUUUGGACUGUUUCCUCCUGGGUUUGCUGUAGUUCGGUCUCCGCUGUUAGUUCUUGUGUAGUGGAGCAUCUUUUAAAGGAAAGCUUUCUAGUUGUUAGGUGGCUGUUGGUGAGAGGAAAUAGUGGGAAAUUUCGACAAACGAGAGGAGUAAAACACGGAUUAUGGAAAUUUAUGGACAGCAGUGCCGUUGAUGGUUUGGAUGAUGAGAAGAAUUUAGAGGAAGAAGCAUGGGUCAGGAAUAGAGGGAAUACAGCCUCUGCCGCUGCCAUUUCUACGAUGACAAAAAAUUUGAGAUAACGGAUAGAAAAACGUUUUCGGUUUGUUCAAGGGGAGUGAGGAAGCCUGUAAUUUUUUUGAAAAAAUUUACUAUUUUAAAUGAUAAAAUAAAAAAAAAAAAGUUCAAUAUUUUACGGCUGAUUCUUUAAAAAGAUUUUUGCUAGGGGAGGGAGCCACCGUAGACCCCUAGUUCCGUCCAGACGUGGCCAAGGUUUCGAAAUCGUCGGAUGCGGUUUCAAAUCUUUUAGAUUCGAAAUUGAACCAAAAAUUAAUGGUUCUGGUUAUGGUUUGAAAUCGAAUGGUUCCAGUUCCGGUUCUGGUUUCUUAACGGUUCUAAAAUCAAUAGUUCCGGCCAGCUUCCGACCAGUUCGAGGCGAUUUCGACCGGUUCCGGACGGUUCUAACCAGAACUAGAACCAUCGGUUUUAACUGGUUUUGUGAACCGUCGGUUCACGGUUUCAAAACUGGUGAAACCGAAACCAAACCGUUUCGGACUGAUUCCGGUUCUAGAAGUAUCACAUACACACUGUGAAAGCCAAAGAAUGACCGUCAAGUGUUUAGAAUUCAGGUAAAUAAAGCUUAACAAAACGAAUGAAGAGAAUGUACAAAGAGAGGUUUGCUUUUCUUUCGUUUUCUUUCUUUCCUUCUUUUUCCUUUCUCUUUUACAAACUAGCAAAAAGAACUGAAGCAAAACUUUAACAUUACUUGACUUGACCUUGACAAGUUAUAUGCCAAAAAUGAAUUACAGAAAAUUCCAAUAUACUAGAUAAAUCAAACAAAAGCCACCUUUUUCUCGAUAAAAUAACAAUUUUCUACUUCCAAUAUUAUAUCAAACAUAAAAGUAAUAGAAUAAAAAGGGAAAAGAUGGAAAAAAAAAAUGCUUACAUGAGAGUCAAAUUUAUCAACAACAGCCUGAGCUUCCUCCCCAGAAGCCAUAGUCACAAAUGCAAAUCCCCUGCUUCUCCCAUUUUUUUGCUUUAUAACCUGGAUUAAACAACAAAAGAACCGAAACCCACAUCAUCAGCACAUUAAAUACAAUGACUAAAGAAAGAAAUUGUCGAUUGAAAGAACCUCAACAUCUGUCACAGUCCCACAUUGGCCAAAGAGGAUUUUGAUAUCAGCAACUGAAAGAGACCAGGGCAAAUUAACUACAUAUAGUUUUCUCUUUUGGACUGUUUCCUCCUGGGUUUGCUGUAGUUCGGUCUCCGCUGUUAGUUCUUGUGUAGUGGAGCAUCUUUUAAAGGAAAGCUUUCUAGUUGUUAGGUGGCUGUUGGUGAGAGGAAAUAGUGGGAAAUUUCGACAAACGAGAGGAGUAAAACACGGAUUAUGGAAAUUUAUGGACAGCAGUGCCGUUGAUGGUUUGGAUGAUGAGAAGAAUUUAGAGGAAGAAGCAUGGGUCAGGAAUAGAGGGA